CAGAAGCACAGUGAGCUCGCGUGGUUCCUGGCUCACCGCUGUUCGCCUUUCAGCUGUUGAUACGAAUAAGUCGGUCAGGAAUUUGCAGUCAUGGUAAUUUAA
ensembl:processed_transcript rps20 ribosomal protein S20